rnacentral:lncRNA from 7 species
AGUGCCCGCGGUGGCUGAACUACAGCGGUAAGGCGCUGCCAAAGCACUGCGCUGAGCGGAUCGUCGAUAAAAUGGACUCCAUGCCCAAGCUGAAGAUCUUUGUGAUGUUGCUGUCUCUGGUUACUUUCACAGCCAUGGUGAUAUUGAAUGCUGGGAAUGCCACUGGGCUUUUCAAAGGUCUGUUCCGGACAACCCCUGGCAACAUCUCAGAGAAGUACAGCACUGACUUCACACCGGCCGGCUGGACUUUCCUCAUCUGGAAUGUCAUCUAUGCCUGGCAGCUGGCGUGGCUCCUGUAUGCUCUGUCAGGGAUCUGCCGGAGAAAUGAACUUGGAUACGUCUUCAUGAAGCCGGACUUGCUGCCAAUACCUUUUUAUGUGGCAUGGAUUCUGAAUAAUGGCCUCAAUGUUGGAUGGCUGUUUCUAUGGGACAGAGAAUACCUCCUCCCAGCCCUGCUGUUGCUGGCAGCCCUCACCUUUACCACAGGUGCUGCUCUCUUCAUCUCGCACAGAGCCUUGAGUAUCCAUUCCACGUGGUUCAUGAAGGGUCACCAAGCUGACCUCUGGCUCAUCCGGAUCCUAGUGCAGAAUGGGCUGGCACUGUAUGCCACAUGGACCACCAUCGCCACUCUGCUGAACUUUGCUGUUGUGUUGAUCUACAAGUGGGACGUGUCCAAUGAGACAGCAACGACUGCCUGUCUGAGCAUCCUUACCCUCAUGCUUGUCAUGUGGUUUUGCCAGGAGAACUUCUUUCUCGAUAAGUACGUCCGUUAUAACCUCACCAUCUACCCAGUGGUCAUAAUAGCUCUGACUGGCAGCAUGUGCAAGGACUUCUCUGUAUCCUCCCCAACCACCAACGGUGUUUUUAUAGUUGUACUGCUGGCACUGACUUGUUUCAUCUUUGCUGUUCGGCUGGCGUUAGUCAUAUGGAAGCACAGCAAUGAACCAGUGGAAGCACCAGCACCACCACCACAGCCAUCAAGCACAGCAGCCUGAGACCUCUGGCAUGGUGAUGCUAUGUCAGAUGCUUUAGAGGGAGAAUUUGAUGGUGCCUUGUUGGUGUCUGGAAAGUCUUCCUCGAUGACUGGUGCUUGGAAAUGCUGAAUAUCUUGCAGUACUAUUACGAAGGUGAAUUCUACUAAAAUAACAUGUUAUUGUCUACAUUUAAUGAAGAGCAAAGUCUGUAUUAUGCUGUUCUUGUCAUUCCAUCACAUUUUUAAAUAAAGCAGCAACUGC